GUGCUUGCUUUGGCAGCACAUAUACUAAAACUGGAAAAAUACAGAGAAGAUUAGCAUGGUCCUUGCACAAAGAUGAUGUGCAAAUUCAUGAAGCAUUCCAUAGUUUU